rnacentral:miRNA from 1 species
GCUGAGUGGGGAGGAGAGAGGGACAGAGAGCCUGCUUCUUUAAAGGAGCAAAGCGGGAGAGGAGCCGCUUACACGAGUGUAAGCGGCUCCUGUCCGGUUGGUUCCUUUAAAGCAAGCAGGCUCUCUGUCCCUCUCUCCUCCCCACUCAGC